UAAAGGUAGACAUAAAGGUAGACACAAAGGUAGACAUAAAGAUAGACAUAAAGCUAGACAUAAAGCUAGACCUAAAGGUAGACAUAAAUGUAGACAUAAAGGUAGACAUAAAUGUAGACAUAAAUGUAGACAUAAAG